AACGUAGGGGGCCAGCGUUGCUCGGAAUUACUGGGCGUAAAGGGUUCGUAGGCGGUGCGGCAAGUCGGGAGUGAAAUCUCACGGCUUGACUGUGAGGCUGCUUCCGAAACUGCUGUGCUCGAGUGCGGGAGAGGCGAGUGGAAUUGCAGGUGUAGCGGUGAAAUGCGUAGAUAUCUGCAGGAACACCCGUGGCGAAGGCGGCUCGCUGGGCCGCAACUGACGCUGAGGAACGAAAGCUAGGGGAGCAAACAGG
rnacentral:rRNA from 1 species